GAAAAAAAUAAAAAAAAGGACGAAAAAUAAAACGAAGACGAAUAUUGGGGCGAAUUUCAAAAGAACUAAAAGGAAACGGCUGAAUUGCAACACGAACACAACUUAGAUGCACCGAAAAUGCAAUAUUCCCCUUGUUUUAAUAUGUAGCACGUGGCCAUGGACCAAGUUGAAGAGCAGGACAAAUUCCUGGGUAAAAUUAAAAUUGAAAAAUACUUGAUUGGGAAGUCAUACGAAAGCGGAGGGGCCGAAAGUGAAAAUAACCCCUCCGCUUCAAAAACAAGCGGAUCCAAGGCCGGACGGGUCGGGUCGGCCUGCUCCACCCCAGAACGACGCCGUUUUGCGCCUUGGGGAGAAGGGCCAAAACUGUACCGUUAUAUAACUUAAAAAAUUGAUUUUUUUUUCAUUUGCUGCAUGUUCUUUAAAAAAAAGGCUUCAUUCUCUCUCUCUCUCACCCUCUUCCUCUGUAACAGGCCUCCGUUGCCACGCUGUUGCCGCCGUGUCGUCCGACGUACGGUGGCCGGAGAUCGCCAAAGGUAAAGUUUUAUUCUAUUUUUUUUGCUAUUUUAUAUAUGUAUAGGCAUGUGAAUAAAUAGAUUAAAAGAAGAAAAAGAAAGAAGAUAAUGAUGAUGAUAAAAUCACCUUGCAAUAUUAGAUUUUGAUUCUUUGUUUGAACUGUUUUCUGCCUUUUGAUUUUGCUGAGAUUUCAGUUUUUUACUUUUUGAUGUUGGUGAAAUCUCUGUUUUGUAUUCUUUAAGAUCUAAUAAUGCUUUUCAUUUUCAAGAAAAACCGACCGAAAAAAAUGGUCCUUGAUUUGGCUCUUUUUAAAUAGCCAUUUACAUGCCCCUCUUUUAAUAUCUGUCUAUUAUUGUUUAAUGUAUUGCAGGUGCAGCUUGGGCCGUGGAUUUGACUUGUCGGUGGAAGCAGAGGCGGUGGCCAGGCAAGUGGCUCUAGGGGCGGCGGCCUAGGGUGAAAAGUCUAGGGUUUUCUUUUUCUUCUUGUAUUGGGGCUGUUAAUUGUUUUGGGUUGAGCUAGGGUUUUGGGUUAGUGGGUUAGUGGGUCUGUUGGGUUUAUGGGUAAGUUAUUUGUUUAGUUUGGGCUUCUGUUAGGUUUAAUGGGUUGUUGGUUUGUUUAUUGGGUUAGGGGAUUUUGGGAUUGGGCUAGGUUAAAAUUUGGGCCUCUACACUAACAUUCAAUUUUCACAUUAAAUAUUUCAAUUUCUAUCUAACUUUUGCCUUAAUUCCAAUUUAGUCCUAACUAAAUUCAUCC
rnacentral:lncRNA from 1 species